UGCUCUGAUGAAAUCAUCUAUAGGAAGUGCCGUCAGAAGCGAUAACUGACGAUAACGUUCCUGGCUGACU
rnacentral:snoRNA from 1 species